UACGGAGGGUGCAAGCGUUAGUCCGGAUUUACUGGGUUUAAAGGGUGUGUAGGCGGACUUUUAAGUCAGCGGUGAAAUCUCCGGGCUCAACCCGGAAACUGCCAUUGAUACUAUUAGUCUUGAAUCUUGUUGAGGUAGGCGGAACGGGUCAUGUAGCGGUGAAAUGCAUAGAUAUGACCCGGAACACCGAUUGCGAAGGCAGCCUACUAAGCAAGUAUUGACGCUGAGGCACGAAAGCGUGGGGAGCAAAGGG
rnacentral:rRNA from 1 species